GUAGUCAUAUGCUUGUCUCAAAGACUAAGCCAUGCAUGUCUAAGUAUAAACACUUUUAUACUGCGAAACUGCGAACGGCUCAUUAUAUCAGUUAUAAUCUACUUGAUCGUAUCUUCUUACUUGGAUAACCGUAGUAAUUCUAGAGCUAAUACAUGCAAAAGAACCCGACUCACGAAGGGUUGUAUUUAUUAGGUACAAAAUCAAUGCUGGCCUUUGGUCAGAUUUUUGAUGAUUCAUAAUAACUAAACGAGGCGCAGGGCUCGUCUCGGCGCUGAUACAAACGAGUUUCUGCCCUAUCAACUUUCGAUGGUAGUAUAGGGGACUACCAUGGUCGCAACGGGUAACGGGGAAU
rnacentral:rRNA from 1 species